AGAGUUUGAUUCUGGCUCAUGAUGAACGCUGGCGGCGUGCCUAACACAUGCAAGUCGAACGAGGUAAAUGAGAUGAAGUUUUCGGAUGGAUUCUUAUUUACCGAGUGGCGGACGGGUGAGUAACGCGUGGGUAACCUGCCUCAUACAGGGGGAUAACGAUUGGAAACGAUUGCUAAUACCGCAUAAGACCACAGCACCGCAUGGUGCAGGGGUAAAAACUCCGGUGGUAUGAGAUGGACCCGCGUCUGAUUAGGUAGUUGGUGGGGUAACGGCCUACCAAGCCGACGAUCAGUAGCCGACCUGAGAGGGUGACCGGCCACAUUGGGACUGAGACACGGCCCAA
rnacentral:rRNA from 1 species